AAGCUGCUCCUUGCAUGGACUAUUGCUCGUGGGCACAACAAGGUGGCAGAAAGCAACUCAGAGAAUGAAAAGGCGUGACUUCUGGAGGCUCAGGAGACUCACGUGCGAUGUUCUUUGGACAGACUCCUGCUUUCCACGGCGGUGGUGGUCUCACUCUGUGGCCGCCACCUUUCUUUAGGCAGGUAGAGUAAAGCCUGGCAGCUAGAUAUUGUUUGAAGCAGGGGGAGCUCUUCCUGUCGAGCACUGUCAACUGUCACAGUA